GACGAACGCUGGCGGCGUGCUUAACACAUGCAAGUCGAACGGAAAGGCCCUGCUUUUGUGGGGUGCUCGAGUGGCGAACGGGUGAGUAACACGUGAGUAACCUGCCCUUGACUUUGGGAUAACUUCAGGAAACUGGGGCUAAUACCGGAUAGGAGCUCCUGCUGCAUGGUGGGGGUUGGAAGGUUUCGGCGGUUGGGGAUGGACUCGCGGCUUAUCAGCUUGUUGGUGGGGUAGUGGCUUACCAAGGCUUUGACGGGUAGCCGGCCUGAGAGGGUGACCGACCACAUUGGGACUGAGAUACGGCCCAGACUCCUACGGGAGGCAGCAGUGGGGAAUAUUGCACAAUGGGCGGAAGCCUGAUGCAGCAACGCCGCGUGCGGGAUGACGGCCUUCGGGUUGUAAACCGCUUUCGCCUGUGACGAAGCGUGAGUGACGGUAAUGGGUAAAGAAGCACCGGCUAACUACGUG
rnacentral:rRNA from 1 species